rnacentral:rRNA from 1 species
UACGUAGGGUGCAAGCGUUUAAUCGGAAUUACUGGGCGUAAAGCGUGCGCAGGCGGUUAUGCAAGACAGAUGUGAAAUCCCCGGGCUCAACCUGGGAAUUGCGAUGGAGACUGCAAGGCUAGAAUCUGGCAGAGGGGGGGUAGAAUUCCACGUGUAGCAGUGAAAUGCGUAGAUAUGUGGAGGAAUACCGAUGGCGAAGGCAGCCCCCUGGGUCAAGACUGACGCUCAUGCACGAAAGCGUGGGAGCAAACAGG